UGGGGAAUAUUGCACAAUGGGCGCAAGCCUGAUGCAGCCAUGCCGCGUGUAUGAAGAAGGCCUUCGGGUUGUAAAGUACUUUCAGUCGGGAGGAAGGUGUCAAGGUUAAUAACCUUGGCAAUUGACGUCACCGACAGAAGAAGCACCGGCUAACUCCGUGCCAGCAGCCGCGGUAAUACGGAGGGUGCAAGCGUUAAUCGGAAUUACUGGGCGUAAAGCGCACGCAGGCGGUUGAUUGAGUCAGAUGUGAAAUCCCCGGGCUUAACCCGGGAAUUGCAUCUGAUACUGGUCAGCUAGAGUCGUGUAGAGGGGGGUAGAAUUCCAUGUGUAGCGGUGAAAUGCGUAGGGAUGUGGAGGAAUACCGGUGGCGAAGGCGGCCCCAUGGACAAAGACUGACGCUCAGGUGCGAAAGCGUGGGGAGCAAACAGG
rnacentral:rRNA from 1 species